AGCAAGACGCAGAUAAGGAUUAGUAAAUAGAUUGUAUUUCUAUAGAGAGCUAACGGUUGGUGAAAGUUAGUGGAAUGCCCUAUUGAACUCGCCUUUGAGUCUGUAUGAGUGAACUGUCAGUAGCUUAUACCGUUUUCCGCGUUAAGGAAUCAAGUUGAGUGAUGUUUUUCACUAAUUUGGGUGGUACCGCGUGAGGUUAAUCUCUCGUCCCUUAG
rnacentral:ncRNA from 1 species